rnacentral:rRNA from 2 species
AGAGUUUGAUCCUGGCUCAGAACGAACGCUGGCGGCGUGCUUAACACAUGCAAGUCGAACGUGAUCCGGAGCUUGCUCCGGUGAAAGUGGCGCACGGGUGAGUAACGCGUGGAUAAUCUGCCCUGGUAUYUGGGAUAACAUCUCGAAAGGGGUGCUAAUACCGGAUAAGCYUACGGGAUCCUCGGAUUYUGCAGGAAAAGGUGGCCUCUAUUUAUAAGCUACCGUAUCAGGAUGGGUCCGCGUACCAUUAGCUAGUUGGUGGGGUAAUGGCCUACCAAGGCGACGAUGGUUAGCUGGUYUGAGAGGAUGAUCAGCCACACUGGAACUGAGACACGGUCCAGACUCCUACGGGAGGCAGCAGUGGGGAAUUUUGCGCAAUGGGGGAAACCCUGACGCAGCAACGCCGCGUGAGUGAUGAAGGCUUUCGGGUCGUAAAGCUCUGUCAGAGGGGAAGAAAUGGGUCGUGCUAAUAUCACGGCUUCUUGACGGUACCCUCAAAGGAAGCACCGRRKRRCUCCGUGCCAGCAGCCGCGGUAAUAC